AUUAAUCCUUUUCUCAUUCAUUCUCUCUCUUUUCACUCUUCUUUCAGCUUAGACUCUUUGGAGAAACCAGCUUUUUCCUUGUUCGUAACUAAAAUCAUGUAAUUAUCUGUUGAAUUUAUCAAUAAAGUUCACGCAGCCCAAGGGUUGCUCUAAUUUUCCUAAAAGGCAGCCCAAGAGUUGCUCUAAUUUCCCUAACAAAAGUGCAGGGGACUUUCAGGGCUAGAUAAAAGUCACUCCCAAUGAUAUGCUAUGGAUGGGCUCUUGUGUAAGGGGCUGGUGGUAGUGGGCUUGGCAUGAAAGCAUGGGU
rnacentral:lncRNA from 1 species